rnacentral:rRNA from 1 species
AGAGUUUGAUCAUGGCUCAGGACGAACGCUGGCGGCGUGCCUAAUACAUGCAAGUAGAACGCUGAAGAAAGGAGCUUGCUUCUUUUGGAUGAGUUGCGAACGGGUGAGUAACGCGUAGGUAACCUGCCUUGUAGCGGGGGAUAACUAUUGGAAACGGUAGCUAAUACCGCAUAACAGCUUUUGACACAUGUUAGAAGCUUGAAAGAUGCAAUUGCAUCACUACGAGAUGGACCUGCGUUGUAUUAGCUAGUAGGUAGGGUAACGGCCUACCUAGGCGACGAUACAUAGCCGACCUGAGAGGGUGAUCGGCCACACUGGGACUGAGACACGGCCCAGACUCCUACGGGAGGCAGCAGUAGGGAAUCUUCGGCAAUGGGGGCAACCCUGACCGAGCAACGCCGCGUGAGUGAAGAAGGUUUUCGGAUCGUAAAGCUCUGUUGUAAGAGAAGAACGUGUGUGAGAGUGGAAAGUUCACACAGUGACGGUAACUUACCAGAAAGGGACGGCUAACUACGUGCCAGCAGCCGCGGUAAUACGUAGGUCCCGAGCAUUGUCCGGAUUUAUUGGGCGUAAAGCGAGCGCAGGCGGUUUAAUAAGUCUGAAGUUAAAGGCAGUGGCUUAACCAUUGUUCGCUUUGGAAACUGUUAAACUUGAGUGCAGAAGGGGAGAGUGGAAUUCCAUGUGUAGCGGUGAAAUGCGUAGAUAUAUGGAGGAACACCGGUGGCGAAAGCGGCUCUCUGGUCUGUAACUGACGCUGAGGCUCGAAAGCGUGGGGAGCAAACAGGAUUAGAUACCCUGGUAGUCCACGCCGUAAACGAUGAGUGCUAGGUGUUAGGCCCUUUCCGGGGCUUAGUGCCGCAGCUAACGCAUUAAGCACUCCGCCUGGGGAGUACGACCGCAAGGUUGAAACUCAAAGGAAUUGACGG